AGGAUCGGGCGAUCGCGGUGCGCCUUUGUGCGUACUGAGGAAAGUCCGGGCUUCACGGAAACACGAUACCGGAUAACGUCCGGCUGGGGCAACCCAAGGGAAAGCGCAGCAGAAAAAAUUCCGCCGAUGUCUUCGGACAGGCAAGGUUGAAAUGGUGCGGUAAGAGCGCACCGCUUUUCCGGCAACGGAAAAGGCACGGCAAGCCCUAUCGGAAGCAAGACCAAAAAAGGCAUACUUUUCGUAUCGCGGGAUGUUUCCGUCCCCGCCAGAGGUAGGUCGCUAAAGACGUUUGGCAACAACCGUCGCAGAUGAAUGAUCGCCGAUCACAGAACCCGGCUUACAGAUCGUCC
rnacentral:RNase_P_RNA from 1 species